CGACAUGUGCUCAGAGGGGUGACUCCUGUACCUAGAGAACUCUGAAAGAUUAUGGGCUAUUUCAUGGCACAACAACAACUCUCUGCAAAUUCCCUACAUAUGCAUGGUACAUCGAUGCUCAUGCCCCUUCAGUCAGGGCUUACCAAUCUCUAGGCAGACAGAAGGAGCUGGAAGCAGGCUGGCCAAUAUGUUUGAGUUCAGAGUUACUGUAACCUGGCAUCAAUGAGGAUAUGAAACUUAAUUUUGUGGUCGCGAUGUCUCACUUCGUACUUUGAAGGAAAUAGCUGUCAGAGGACAACUGUGAAAACAGUUUUUUUUGGUACUGAAUUAAAUUUUAAAAAGCAGGUCAGCCUACAAUAUAUAGUAAUUACUUAGAGUGAACGCAGUUAUUUCUUUUUGAUUGCUUCUCAGCAGAGCAUGAUGCCCUUCUGUUUAGGUGAAGUAGCAAUCAGCAGCUAACGACUGAAUUGAGCUUCCCUGCAUUCAGCUGAUUGUGAGUGUUUCUGGUAAGAAAAUACGGCAUUGAUCAUUGUAGAAAUGUACACCCCAUUAUUUGAAAUACCAAUAAAGGAGCAAAAUUAAACUCCGUUCAGGCUGUCAGAUUAAAUGGGGAAGGAGGGAAUGGGAAAUUGCUGAAUGCCCACAUAUUUUUUAGCAGGGACGAGACCUAUUCAAAGUUGAUAUUGUGUUUUAGGUAUGCUUGUUCACAGAUGUAUAAAGCUGGAAAUUACUCUGCGUGUUGCAUUUAAUGUACACAUGUUGUUAAUGUUCUCCUCCAAGCCACAUACCAUCGUGGCUUGGAGAUAUAAUAUAUUACAUUACUCAGUAUAGGCUUGCAACCUUCAUUUGGGAAUGGGAGUGGAUGGAUUUUGUUGCAGUAAACUGAACAUAUCAGCCGGUGGAAGAGAAGCAGCAGACGAAGGUGAGAAGCCACUCGAGAUGCACAUGUUGCUGGUGCGACCCACAUGUUGAUUCACCAAAGAGGAUUCCAGAACUCAAAUUAUCACUUGGAAAGGAAAACAAGGCAGUGAUAUUCUCCCUCUCCUUUAUAUCUACUUUGUUCUCUGAGCGAGGGAUGAAUGUAAAAGACAAGAUGAAAAAAAGACAUUCUGAGCAUUAUGUUGGAGGAUGCAUUUGCUAUGUUCGUUCAUUUUUGGGAUGGGAAGAUUGUUUGCAGUAUGGUGGUUAAUUCCUUCCGUGCUACCACCACAAGCUAAAGUGGAAUGUACUUUAAGAUUAUGUUUGAACACCAUACACAGAGUGUGCAUUUCUCCAGCUGUUUGCGGGCAUGCUUACCUGCAAUUUUCCAUAAAUAAAACCUGUUCAAUAAUUCAGCAACUCUAUUGAAGAACUAUUGUUUUAAAAUUCCCAUUUCUAUUCUGAGUUGCCCACAGGAGCUUUCAAUGUGUUUUCUCCAAAAUGGCUGAAUUUGUGUCAAAAGGGUUCCUGUUAAACUUUGCAAGUAUCAGUUUCCACACAAUUGACUGUUUUCCAUAUAAAGCAGUUAAGUUUCAACUAACAAUUGUUUUUGAAACUAUUUUCAAUAUUUACAUUAAAUUACUUUUUAUCCAUUUCUCAUGAAAAUUUCUCUCACACUCAAUCCAGUGAGCAUUAUUUAUACAGAGAGCCCAGAAGGCUAACAAGAAAUUAGGAAAAAUUUGGUUAAUUGAUCUUUAUUUCAAGGAGAAUGGAGGAUUCAAGGAGAAUGUAAGGAAGUUUUGCUUCAAAUAUACAGCGUUCCGGGACACCUCCACUGGCAUUCCUCAGGCCCAACCAUCUUUAACAGCUUCAUCAAUGACCUUUUCUCCUUCAGAAGGUCAGAAGAGAGGAUGUUGAUUGCACAAUGUUUAAUAUUUGUGACUCAUAAGAUGUGAUACAAUACAUGUUCAAAUGCAGCUAGAUCAAGGCAACAUCCAGGUUUGAGCUGAUAGGUGUCAAGUAACAUUUAUGCCACACAAAUGCCAACAAUAAACAUAUCCAAAAAUAGAUCAUCUAAAUAUCACCUCUUAGCAUUCAAUGGCAUUGCUAUCAUUGUAUCUCCCACUAUCAGCAUCCAGGGAUUACCAUUGCCCAGAUAUUGAACUGGACAAGCAUAUUCAUACUGCAGCUAGAAGCACAGGCCAAUAACUAAGAAUCCUGCAGUGAGUAACUCAUCUUCUGCCUCCCUAUUUAAUAUUGGCAAAGCAUUUGUCAGGAUUAUAAUGGAAUACUCCACACUUCCCUGGAUGAAUUCACCUCCAAAAACACACAAGAAACUUGAUACUGUUCAGGACAAAGCAAUCCGCUUGAUUGGCACUGUUUCCACCAAUCUAUUACUUUGAGCCUGCUCUGC